ensembl:lncRNA
GCUGGAUGUUUUUGUCAUUGUUCCCAUAGUUCGUUCAUGGUAUUUUGCCACAUAUUUGCCUGCAAAAUUUUGCUCAGCAAUAGUAAAUGUGAUCACAGCUUGAGGAGGAUGUUUUGAGUUUUGAAAAUUACAUUGUUUCAUAGACAGAGACUGUGUCAAGAACAAUUUGACUUCUCAGUACAUGACCCCAUUUCAUUCUUCUUUGGGUUGAAAGUGUUUUGUCUUUGGGGUAACAUAUAAACUAUGGAGUGAUAUUUUAUUUUUCAACCAAUAUAUAUUUUUAACCAUUGUGAUCUUUACUAAAUAACAGGAUGGUGAAUGUCUGAAUUGUAUUUGUUAACAGGAGCAAUCGAACCAGGGCAACAAGGACUCGAGUGAUCUGGAUGAGAGCAAAGGCUCAGUCUUUGUUCCUUCAGUGAAGGAGUCCACUGAUGAUGAGGACCUUCAUUCAGAAGAGUCCCAGCUUGAAAAGACCAAUCGAAAGACUGUAAAAGACACAAUACUUCAUUCAUCUAAAAAGGUCAAGAAGGCAAAGCAAAAAAGUCCAAGAAAAAUGACAAUCAAAACAAGUCAGCGAGGUCCUGAAGGCAAACGAACGUGGAACAAGAAACAGUACUGUGUCUUCUGUGAAAAGGCACAAGCCAAGAUCGCUAGACAUCUUGAAAGAAGUCAUUCCAGUGAAACAGAAGUUGCUAAAGCCUUGAGUUUUCCCAAAUGUUCAAAGAAACGAAUAAUUCUUCUUGAACAGCUUCGGAACCAGGGUAAUUAUUAUCAUAACAUAAAAGUCUUGGAAACCGGACGCGGCGAGAUCGUUACCUGGAGACAACCAACCUCAGUGAAAACAAUCAAGCUCAAGCGUCGCGUCACAGAAACAGACGCUUCGGAGAAUGAAGAUGAAGAACCCUCUACCUCAGUGAAGACUGUCAAGCGCUCUCCUCCAGACAAUCAACACAUUAUAGAGAUGUUCUCAGGAAAGAAAGCUCCAAGGAGGUCAUGGAGCAGUGAAGAGCAGAGCGCUGUGAAGAGUACACUCAGAAUAUGCUUCUCCUUCAGGAAAGUUCCUGGAAAGGCAGAAUGUCAGUCAUGUCUAGAUGCUAAUCCAGUACUGAGCUCAAGUUUAUGGCUUGAUGUUAAAAACGUUGUCCAUAGAUCCCGGGCCCUAUGCAUAGGCAGUCCUGAUGGUCCCCCAUGCCCCCCCUUAUUCAACCACUAAGUGUUGGGACA